CCACUUUGGCAGUGUGCACACUAAAAUUGGGACAAUUUGGACAAGAGUCACAUGGUCCCUGUGCAAGGAUGGCAGGGACAUCUAGGAAGCUGUCCACAUCCUU
ensembl:snRNA predicted gene, 24477